rnacentral:lncRNA from 12 species
GGCCUUUCCUACAGAGACUCUAUCAUUUGGUGGGAGAGGAAUAGAAAACUAUCCCCCAAAUUGAGGAGGCACUUUGAGACUGAAAAACAAAAUAUACAGCGUACACAGUUUUAUUCAGGGUAACUUACUGCCAGGAUGGACUGGGCAGGUGAUGAGCCAGACACUGCACAGCUAUUCUCUGCAACGUCUGGACCUCAGUCUGGCAUCAAUCUCAGAGCUUGAGUUGAGAUGAACACUCCAGCAUCUAUGUCUAGCCCAACCUCAUUCACCUGAAGUCAGGGUGGGUUUGUUUGUUGGUUGGUUGUUUUUUUGGGUUUUUUUGUUUUUUUCUUUUUCUUUUUAACUUCUUUCUGUCACAGAAACUCAGAGAGUUCUGCACCUGAAUGUCAUGACCUGUCAUGACCUAAGUUUGUGUUCACUGUCAGGAACUUAGGAGAAAAUGAGCUGGGAGAAAUGGAUGGGACCCGGGGAAAGUCAGAAAAAAAGGCUAUGAAUUUAAAAAAAAAAAAAAAAGGUGGGGGGGAAUGAUGUAGAAGAAUAGGAGGAUAUUCAGUUUUUCUCGACCUCUCAUUUCCCCAUAAUUACAUCCACUGCCUGACAGCUAUUCUUGAUCUCCCUUCAUUUAACAUUCACUGAUUGCAAGGAUUUCAGGCAGAACUCAGGGGAAAGUUACGGCGGUGAGAGGCCAUUCGUCUUCUCCACACGGGAAGAGAAGGAAUGCGUGGUCGUCCCUUCAUUCUCAGUGACCUGUUGUAAAUGAUGAUUUUUAUGUCAAACUGAAAUUUUCUUCAUUCUUUCUUGUAUUAACGUAUAAGGUCUAUUCUACACUGAGAUGGGUCACCAGGGUAGCUUAUAGAUUUUCCUUCCCUCGAGAUCUUUGAAGAAGAUAAAUAUCAAACUGUCUUUGAAGGAUGACAUGGAGUCCUUACCACUGGUUGAAGAAUGAAUUAAAAAACCUUGGCUGUCCCUGGUGCCUAUGAGUAAGGAAAGGCAAAAUGAAACAAAACAUUAGCUAUCUUCACAAUAUAAAGCAAUUCCUUUAAACACUCUUUAUUUCCAAUGUAGCAAUUUUUUUUAAGAGAAACUCUCUGCCACCCUGACAUUAAAUGUCAAAGGAGCACCAACUCUGUCCAGUUGAGCUACAAAAUUAAUUGACUACUAUGAAAAAUACCAAUGUAGCAUAAUGAGCCACAGAAGACCCAUAUCAACACUAAAUUAGAAG